rnacentral:rRNA from 1 species
UGGGGAAUAUUGCACAAUGGGCGAAAGCCUGAUGCAGCAACGCCGCGUGAGUGAUGAAGGCCUUCGGGUUGUAAAGCUCUGUCUUUUGGGACGAUAAUGACGGUACCAAAGGAGGAAGCCACGGCUAACUACGUGCCAGCAGCCGCGGUAAUACGUAGGUGGCAAGCGUUGUCCGGAUUUACUGGGCGUAAAGGAUGCGUAGGCGGAUUUUUAAGUGAGAUGUGAAAUACCCGGGCUUAACUUGGGUGCUGCAUUUCAAACUGGGAAUCUAGAGUGCGGGAGAGGAGAAUGGAAUUCCUAGUGUAGCGGUGAAAUGCGUAGAGAUUAGGAAGAACACCAGUGGCGAAGGCGAUUCUCUGGACCGUAACUGACGCUGAGGCAUGAAAGCGUGGGUAGCAAACAGGAUUAGAUACCCUGGUAGUCCACGCCGUAAACGAUGAGUACUAGGUGUAGGAGGUAUCGACCCCUUCUGUGCCGCAGUUAACACAAUCAAGUACUCCGCCUGGGAAGUACGAUCGCAAGAUUAAAACUCAAAGGAAUUGACGGGGUCAAUAGCUG